GUCGCCGAGGAUAUCGUCAAGGAAACGGCUCUCACCAGCUCAGUGACCAGGGGGACGGUGAAGACGUUCCCGCUCUUGCGCCUCAGCUUCAUUGAACAGUAAACUCACCAGCAGACGCUUUUGGAGUAAUAUUCAAUGUUGUCGGAAAAGUCUGCCAUCUGAUCCUGGGCGAUGCUCUCCAGCCAAUCGACGACCAACUGCGGGCGAGAAGGCGCGCCACGCUGAGCCGAGCCGAGCCGAGCGCUAAAAGCGCAACACGGGCUCUGAGCGCAUUUGUUACCUGACUUUGACGGACGGUGGCGUCGCGCUGGAAGAGAUGCUCCACCGCCGUUUUCUCACUUUCGUUGGGAAACUGCACGCACAAUCAACAUGAGGCAUUGCUCCUAAAUUGCCCUCGCGGAGGAACAUUUCUUGAAAUCUUAAAUUCCACGCAGCAGAGGUCGAUCACUCACUGCCACGUCGACCGCCAUGUCAUCUUCCGGCGCCGACUGGACGCGAUCCCUGCCAAAAGAGAGCGAGCGGACGAGCCGGUCAGAUGCACUCGAUCGGACGCGAGGUGCCGUCCGGAGGGAAGCGCAUGUCCACCUGUACAGGGAGGAGAUGAGUCUCCAGGUGUGGCUCUCCUGCUGCAGUAGCCAGCGCACUCCCGCCGUCUUGCUGCUCGGACCCGCUCGCAGCACCACCGACUGGAGCACGUCCACCUGAAACACCCGACAGAAGCUCAGAUCGAGUCGCAUGUCCCUCCCGAAAUCGCCUACCUUGUCCUGGCAGAGGCUCUGGUAAUCCUCCAGCAGCUCAAAUACGCCAGACGAGGAGCGUUUCAAAAAGGACGCCAGGAAAUCAGGGAACAGACUGGCCGCCGCUGCAAGAAGCAAAGGAUCAGAUGCCAAAGCACAACAUGACGGACGGAGUGCGUUUGUUUCGCCCACCGGCCUCUCCGGGGUCGUCGUCCCUGAGCAGGGCCGAGCCGAGCUGGGCGAUGUCCUCCGUGAAGAAGCUGCUGUUCCCCAAAGCCGCCACGGGCGACGCGUACAAGCUACUGCCGAGUGUGGUUCUCCGCGUGUGUGCGGAGUGAGGAGUUUGGCCCGCGUGAGCCCAUAUGGCGGAAACAUCGGAAACCCUGGGAGUUACUGGAGGAAGACGA